rnacentral:rRNA from 10 species
UCUUACGGCCAUACCACCCUGAAUGCGCCCGAUGUCGUCUGAUCUCCGAAAGCUAAACAAGGUCCGGGCCUGCUUAGCACUAGGAUGGGAAACCGCCUGGGAAUACCAGGGAAGCUGUUAGCC